AUUACUCUUUAAGAAAAAGUUUGUUGAUCUCUGAGCUGUUCUAUCCUUACUGUCAUAGAACCUGAGGUCUUUGAUAAGUGCCCUUAUAUGGCAACUUUCUGUUUUCUACACAGACAAGAGAUGUUCACAGUAGCCAGCCUCCAAGGUGGCCCCAACGAUCCCCACCUCUUGGCAUUCACACCCUUGUGCAGUUCCUUCCCACGCUGACUUGUACAACCAAUGCAGAAGUGAUGGAGUGUGACUUCCAAGCCUAGGUCAUAAAAGAUACUGUGGCUUCCAUCUCCCUCUCUCUGAGAUCACUCACUCUGGGGGAAGCCAGCUCCCACGUUCUGGGAACACUCAAGAAGCCCCAUGUAGAAGCCCACGUGGUGAUAAAUCGAGGUCUCUUACCACCAGUUACUUAGGCUAUGUAACCAUAUCCUGGAGUAAUCAUUUCUUAACUUGGAAUCAAUGCAGAAGAGUCGGUCUGCCUAGAGGUUGGGAGGUUAACCUUGGAGCCAUCUGGAUUCUGUUUCUCCAGGGAGGAGGUUGGCACAGAAUCUUCACACCCUUCCAAGUUGCGGAGAAAAUUGAGCUAGAAGUGUUUUCUUCCUCUAAGGCACCUUGCUCCUGUUUCGUGGCUCAUCUCACUAAGACCCGACACAAACCCACAGCACAACGUUAUAGGAGUUGUUCAGCUUGUGAUCAGGUGUCUCCAAUUCUGUUUCAUACGCGCUGAAACCGAAAACUUCAUUUUUCACCUCAACAUGUGUUCCAU
rnacentral:lncRNA from 1 species